rnacentral:rRNA from 1 species
UACGUAGGGUGCAAGCGUUGUCCGGAAUUAUUGGGCGUAAAGAGCUCGUAGGCGGUCUGUCGCGUCUGCUGUGAAAACUCAGGGCUUAACCCUGAGCUUGCAGUGGGUACGGGCAGACUAGAGUGCGGUAGGGGAGACUGGAAUUCCUGGUGUAGCGGUGAAAUGCGCAGAUAUCAGGAGGAACACCGAUGGCGAAGGCAGAUCUCUGGGCCGUAACUGACGCUGAGGAGCGAAAGCGUGGGGAGCGAACAGG